CAAAUCCCUUGGAACUGCAGUUAUUGAUGGUUGUGAGCCACCAUGUGGGUGCUGGGAACAGAACCAGGUUCUCUGAAACAGUAACAAAUGCUUUUAUCCCCGGAAUUGCUUUUCAGCCCCACUGAUCCACUGCUCAGAACAUCGACUUGGAAGUUGAAAAAUCUGUAGAGCCCCUGUCAGUCUCUACCUCCCGCUGCUGCUCUUCCCGUGUUCAUGUGUGUGUUCACAGAGACAGAAGUCAUUACACAAUGUACACAGUUCCCGGGGCUUGAGCACAGCGUCAAAGUUGGCUAUUGUUUGUCAGUAGAGUUAAGAUAGAAAGGGGGCUGGGUGGUGGUGGUGCAUACCUUUAAUCUCAGCCCUGAGUUCUAGGCCAGCCUGGUCUUCAGAGCAAGUUCCAGGAUAGGCAAGGCUGUACAGAGAAACCCUGUCUUGGGGGUCGGGGAGCAGAAUAAAAGAAAGGGAGCCAGUGCCUAAACUUGUGGGGGGGUCAGUCUGGCAUGCCAGGUUCUACUCCCUUUGCAGUCUGUGGCUUUAUGGGGUCUCUAGGGUCCCCUUGGUGGCUCAUGGUAGGGAUGUUUGAAUACCAUAGUCACAUGGGCAUGAGGAGAGAAGGGCCUACCUGCAGGAGCAUUGUGAGGCAUGUACUCUGCACCGAGACUUACCUGGGACUUUUUUAAAGGCAGGUUCCUACUUUGUAGCCCUGGGUAGCCUAGAACUCACUAUGUAGACCAGGGUGGCCUCACAGAGCUUUGUCUGCCUCUGACUCCUGAGUGCUAGGAUUAGAGACAUGGGCUAUCAUACCUGGUUACCUGUGCCUUUUUUUUUUUUUUUAAUACCUGGGGCAGGAGAGACGACUUAGAGGUUAAGUGGGAGAUACUGGUCUUCCAGAGGACCUGAGUUUAGUUCUCUGCACAUACUUCUGUGCCACCCUGCAUCUGCUUUCCCCUCAGGGUAGCUAGGCUCGUUCUGGAACCAGCUGGACUAGAGGGAGGGACGCUUAGCUGGGUGCAGGUGAGUGCAGUGCAGGAUCUAGCUUGGGUAAUGAACAGCUGGGAACAGCUUCAGAGAAAUGGUUCCAUUUACUGAGGGGUACUUAUGCCCCUGGAGAGGUGGCCAGAGUCUCUGGGGCAAGGUUUAUAUGGCUGUGUGUGUACCAGGGCAGGGGUCAGGGCUGUUGGAAGAUGCUUUAUCUACAUACUCAGGGGCUUUUAAUGUGUGUGUGUGUGUGUGUGUGUGUGUGUGUGUGUGUGUGUGUGUGUGUGUGUGUGUGUGUGUAGGGACCCUAUAAGGUCAAACAAGGAGUGAAGCUUGGUUACUGUCAGGGUAAUAAAUUCUUACUAGGGUUAGCGGGGCUGGUUUUAUGGAACAGAUUGGGAAGCAGGAGGGAGCCAACUCCUUCUGUCCUCAAGUUUGAGGUGUCUGGGUUUGAAGCUCCUCUGUAACCCUGGGCCAUGAAGGUCCCACAGCUCCUCUCUCUUGCUUUAUAAGAGGGCAGUAUCAUCAAAGUCAGCAUCCAUGUGGGGGAUGGUUUGAUACUGGACCAGAACCUGAUUGGCAGUGGUUCGUGCACUGCUACUUAUCUGUUGUUUUGGAAACUGGAUGGGGCAAAGUACCAGGAGGAGAAGGGGAGGAGCCAAGCCAUCAGGGUGGGUACCAUGGGGUAGGGUGCUGGGUGCAUAGCAUGUCCUGAGGUCUCCCUGGAGAUCUUUGAGCCUUUGUCAGUUUUGUUCCACCAGCCCCAUUCAUUGACAAAGGAGCCACAUUCUUCCCCCAACACAAUGCAAGCCACGCCCCUCCCUGCUCAGCAGCCAAUAAGUCUAGAGUUCUGUAGAACAACCCUUGCUGGGGGGGGGAGGGGGGAGAUCUGUCGAUGGAGGGACUAGAGACUGUCCAAGGAGGAAGGUACAGCUGGGUAAAACUUAUCCUGGAAAUCGCCAGCCAGAUGGUGUGUCUGGACGAGGGCUGCUCCAGCGGGGCUCAUGACGCCCAGUUGAGAUGGUGGACAGAGGGAUGAAGACGUCCCUGGUCCCCUCCCAGCUGUAAAGUGCGUUCUUUGGGCUCAUAGAGAUAAACCUGGGGAACAAUCGUUGCAGGGGUGCAGAAACUUUGAAAAGCGGGGUUUAAUGCAGGAACUGGUUAUGUUAUUGCACCGGAGAAGAGCAAGGGGGAAGGGUAACACAUACUGGCUUGGUGACCGUGAUGUUACUGCAGUGUGUAGGAUGGGACCUUGAAGAGGGCCUAUGAGGCAAAGGGGGAGGAUAGAUUAAAAGAAGGAAUGUUUUGUAAGUUUUGUGUGGGUAAGGCCCACAGGGUUCAUGAAUCGAGUCGUUAAUGGGAUCAGCUGCCAACAGUGGAUGGGAGGGGGAAGUGCAAAAGAAAAGGCGUAGAGAGAUGACCAAGCCAGCUCAGUCAGUCAACAGGUUCUCCAGCGCAGGAGCAAGGAUCAAAAAGAAAAAAGACAACUAGACAACUUUCUAGCAUGACCCCAGCUGGUUCUGAGGCUGAGUCAGGUUAAUUUUUUUUUUCCAGUCUGCUUUUAUACCACUUUAAUUACAUGCAAAUAAUAAGGUGAGUUCUAGGUUGAGGAAGAAACAAGACAAUAAACACAAAUAGUCAAGGAACAAGCAAGGCAAUAAACAAAGCCCCAUGAUCACUUUAUCUAAGGGCUGAUCAGGAUGACCAGGAUAUCUGAGCCUACGUCUUUUUUCUAGCUCAAAAUGGUGGUAAGUGUUUUGUUUGUUUGUCUUUUUUUCUAGCUCCAAAUCAGAUUCCUGCCAGAGCUUACUUCCCUGUCCUGGGCCAAUGUCAGAUUUCUGCCAAGCGGGCCCCAAAAGCUGUCCACAAAGAGAGUUAGGGGGAGGGCUAGGGGGAGGGCUAGGGGGAGGAGGCCCGCUGUUUAAUGGAUACAUUGUAGCCAGGAGAGGGUGGCUUGAAUCUCCUUUGGAGUUUGAUUCUGUUAAAGAAUGGUAACUGGGUAAAGGCCAAUUUGGAGGCAGGGAGGAGUUGUCGGGAGAUGUGCAGGUCCCCUACUGGGUAUUUGGCGUAACUGUAAGGGUAGAGCUUACCCACAAGUCCCAUUCAUCAUCAUUUGUCCCAGGGACCACCAAUGGAAAGCUGAAAAUGAGUAUUAAUGUUAGUGAGCAUGGUGCCACCUUGGCCAGGGGCGUGGAUUCCAUUCAGCAUCUCCAAGAUCUGCAGCCUCCAUCUAUGGAGGCUUUCUGGAGGCAGUCACCUGCGUUGUGCCCUGGCUGUCCUGAAAUUCUCUCUGUUGACCAGGCUGACCUUGAACUUGGAGGAUCACCUGCCUCUGCUUCUGCCUCCUGAGUCCUGGGAUUAAAGAGGAGCGGAGAUGGCAGCGGGCGGAACGAAGGGAGGAUUGGAGGAGUCUGCGCAGAGCGAUCAAGUUGGGAGUCCUGAGCGACAGGCCCUCCAGAGGACAGCACAGCGAGCGAGCUCGGGCACUGGUGAUUUAGGAUCCAAUCCAGCAGGUUAAGGUCUAAGAAAACAUGUUUAGGGGAAACGUUUGAGAUUGGUAACGCAAAUAGUGAAGGUUGGGGGUGUAAGAGAGCGUGGAUGAUGACGACUUAGAAAGAAAAACGCUUCCGAUGAAAGACGUUUAAAGUUGGCAAAUGCAAGUUCUAAGUGUUGGAGGGUCUGAGAAGAUGUUUUAUAUCAUAUAAAUGCAAAUUACAGAGAUGUGAGAAAUGAUUUAAGAUAUGAAAAGGGGGAAAUGUUUCAUAUUCCCCCCUCAUGCUAUUGUUAUUUCAAAGUUCAGAAUUUUAACAUUACUCAGUGGAGUUCUGAUAAGCUAAUGGAACAUUUACAACUCAGUCACAAGCUUAAGAUUUUAGUUUCCUUUUGGCUGCCUUCUGAAUAUAAACUUAGAGAUGCUUCUCACCAUGCUAAAACCAUCUCUGUUCACUCUGUGUAUCCAGCCCUCUGGACUGAGGGGAAAUGUUCUGUGCCUUUUAACCGAAACUUAGAACUUUCACCAGGCCCCAAAGGCAUGCGUCUACCCCUGUUGUCUAACAGAUACCUCUUAACUAUAUUUCUAAAAUACGGAUUUCAAUAUAAUGGUAAAUAUUAAUGUACAUCCUUUUGUAAACUAAAGUUCACAUAAGCUUUAGGGAAUCAAGAGUCCUAAGACCUGGACCUGCCUUUCACAGAUCAAAUGGACCACAGAUAAGUACAGCUGCCUGUUUUGACCCAAUCCAGCAGGAUGCUGAAGGGCACGGUGGCUGCCAGAGAGAUUGGUGAGGCAUGCUGAUGCUGGGACAAAGAAUGAUGCUGACCGUGACCUUGCUGAGUGCCAUGAUGAUUGCAAUAGGGAAGCUGUAGAGGACAUAAGUGCCUGACCCAUCUUUGUUUCUUUCUUCUGUAUGGUCGAGGCCAGAAAUACUUGUGACUUCUAAUAAUUCUCAGCUGUUAGAAUUCCCUUGGUCUGAGAGUAAGAAGUAUUCCAAACUGGUGAAUUACACUGCUAUGGGUCAGGGCCUCCCCAUUUGUUUUACUAGAAAUAGUGCCAAUGCUGGAUGUGUUUCUGUGGACUCUCAGGCUUGGAAGAAGAAUAUCUCUAAGACUGUAGUGCGAGCAUUGAGAUGGGAAUGCCUGUAUCUCAGACUGGACAGGCUGCCUCGCCUCAGGCUUUUGGACAUUGAAGGACAGAGAACAUGGAGACUGUGGAGCCUGUCUUCAAAAAAAAUCAAUCAAUCAAAUGGAGAAGCUGUUUUAAUGACUCUCCUCUUUCCUUUCAUGUGACUGGUUAUCCUGACUCAGUCGUGUACUGGUCUGGAAAUUAAUACAGUAUUGGACAAAAGGAAAUGACAGUGGGCAUUUGGAGGGCUAAUUCUGGAAAAUUUCAGAGACAUAUUUGGAAAUUGGCAGCUGUGUUGUAUGAUGUUACGUUUGCUGUGGAUAAAAAUGGAGCAGGUUCUGGUGUUAAGGUAAAUGUAGCAUCCUGCAUUACCCCACCCAAUCUUUUACUAAUUGGGAAAGUUACCUUUGUUAUUGGCUCUGAUAAUGAGUUCAGUGUUUCUUGUUUUAAUUGUCUUUUGUCCAAUUGUGUUUUUGCGCUCUGUGAUGGACAAUCUGUAAUGAUAGCACACCAACCAGCUUUUAUUAUGAUUCCUAUAAAUUUAUCUGAACCCUAGUAUUCUGAAAAGGCUUACAAAUAUUGGGAGAAUUAGGUCAUCCUCUGGCAAGGAGCACACGUAUGGUUGGGCUGAUCACUGUUGGUGUUGUUGCUCUCACGACACAGCCAGUGCCACCACUUCUGCAUUAGCUUUAAUACAAGAGGUGCAAACAGCUAGUUUUGUUAAUCAUCUUGCAGGAAAUGUGAUGAUGCCCUAAGUAUACAAAAAGAUUUAGAUAGAUGGCUAGAACAAAGAAUUGACACAUUAUAUGAUAUAGUGCAGAUCAUGGGAGGUGAGGUACAAGGAAUGAAAGUCAGAAGCCCUUGGAAUGCCAUGCACAAUGUCUAUGGAUUUGUAUAACUCCAAAAAUGUAUAAUGAAAGUCAGCCUAAUUGGACCUGAGUAAAAAGGCACCUUUCAAUGUAUUUUUCAAAAUGCGAAUACUUCUUUAGCCCUGCAUAAGGAGAUUGUAAGUUUAAGAAGUGCAAAGUCUUUGUGUAGUAUGGGUAUUUUGACAGAUCCUGGCAUGGGGUUUCUUCCUCACCCUUGACCAUUUAUGUUCCCAGAUGAAACACACACACACAGCCUUUAGAUUUUAGUAUGCCUUAAGCAGCACAACAGCCAGGCAACUGCCUAACUUCCAUGCUGUUAGAAUCCACCUCCCACCCAUAACUCCGCGUUACUACUUACUAAUUUCUAUGUUCCAGCUUGGCUGCUCUUGACCAGUUGGGCCACAUUCUUUUGGCUCUUUUACGUGGUGGCUUUGGUUCUCCCUCCUACACCUCUCCUGAGGCAUGGCAGCUCCCUUUUCUCUCUUUCCUCAUGGCCCCUAGCCUGAGAAACCAAUCAGAAUUCACUGGGGUUAGGUUCCUAGAAGCUAUGUACUGACUUCAAAUGUUGGAGGCCAUAAGAUAGCAUUAGAAUACAAGCAGCAUUAGGCCAGCCUACUACACCUUUGUCUUUUGAUGCUGCUAGCAUUGCAAAUGAUAUUUUGAAAAAGUUACAAACUGUUUUCCCUUCAUGUUCCUUGUUACGUCUCUCUUAUUGGCCAUAGCAUGACUUGGCUUUUUUAUGGCAUGUCUAUUAUCUGUUCUUUUGAGAGAAAUCAUCAGAGCUUUUAUAGAUGUCAAAGCAGAGUUACAUAAAUUCAGGCUCCAGUGUCUUCCCUAGUAGAAGUUGGUAGAUAAUGACCGGUAAGAUUGUCUUGAAAAACCUUCUCAACCUAAGACAGGCCACGAAUACAAGAUUAUUCAUGUGCCAAUGAUUGUUAAGAGCUGAGUUUUCAGAUGGCAAUAGGCACAACUUUCUGCUUUGUGACUGAUAAGGUGUGCUGUUCUUAUAGAUAAAAAAGACCAGUAAGAUUUUCUCAGAGUUGGAUCAACCUAAGACAGGGCAUGAAACCUAGAAUUCAUAUACCGAUGAUAGGUAAGGUCCACACUUCUUGAGGGGAUGCCUAAAACAGGCAUAAUCUUUCUGUGCCAAUAACUGAGACAGCUUUGGCUUGUAUAGAUAAAUCGGGGGGGGCAUGUGGGGGCCACAUCCAGAGUUAACUUUGGAUGACUUCUUGCUUGUGAUUAAUCAUGAAUGAGUCUGCUGACAUCUGUCUUUGCUUUUAGUUAAGACGUGUGUUAUACCCUGCCAAGUUCCUCCACUUAUGUAUACAUCCUUGAGAGACUGUUCUAGCCCGAAGGAAAUGGCCUUAGUGAAACAUAGAUGCUGUGUACCAUAAACUCAACACAUAAGCAUUUGUGGGCAUUGUUUAUAUUCCUGAAAUUGGUCAUAUUUUCUGUUGCUUGUCUUUAAAAGACACUGAGAAAAUACACUUGCAUUUGGUUCGAUAUUGACCAGCAGUCCUCCCAUAUCUGUCUCUUGCAUCUUCUUUCUUCCUUUUCUAUAAUCAUCUUCACUCCCUGUCUUAGUUAGGGUUUUACUGCUGUGAACAGACACCAUGACCAAAGCAACUCUUAGAAGGACAACAUUUAAUUGGGGCCGGCUUACAUGUUCAAGAGGUUCAGUCCAUUAUCAUCAAGGUGGGAGCAUGGCAGCAUCCAGGCAGGCAUGGUACAGGAGGAGCUGAGAGUUCAACAUCUUCAUCUGAAGGGUACUAGUGGAAGACUGUCUUCCAGGCAGCUAGGAUGAGGGUCUUAAAGCCCACACCCACAGUGACACACCUACUCCAACAAAGCCACACCUCCUAAUAGUGCCAUUCCUUGGGCCAAGCAUACUCAAACUAUGAAUUGUGGUUCCUGCAUUGACUGACUGGUAGGCUUUGGCAAUUCCUAAAGAAAUUAUUGCCGCAAAAUUCUUUUUAGCACGCAUGGUGUGGACAAUUUCUUCCUCCCACCAGGACAGGCUGUUUAUCACAGGUCUUAAGAUUCCUAAGGCUUUAGCUCUUAGAAUACAAACUUGGUAUCUGACCUAACAUUCUGAUGGUGGCUAGACUUUCUGUAGUGCGUGUUCCAUUUACUCUCCCUUGAUUCAACACAGCAGACCCUGCCUGCCUAGCUCCCCAGUAAGCAGGGAUGGUGUCUCCACUGGGUGGUCAGAAUCUCCUACCUCCUUAGCUGGCCUAAGGACCUGAGUCAGUCCCCCCACUGCUUCUAUGUAGCCAGAGUUGGCCUGGAGCUUGCUAUCUAGACCAGGCUGUCCUUGAACUCAUGGAGACCCACCUGCCUCUAAAUCUCGAGUAAAGGGACUAAAUGCAUGUACCAGCAUGCCCACCCUAUCUAAGUCUCUUUAUGCAUUCCAUGGCUGUACUGACGCCUUGUCUGUGAGAGUUGUUAUAAUUCUUUCUUUAGAGUCUGUACUCCUGAACCUGUGUCAGUUAUAUUGGGUUAAUAAUAAGAUAUUUUAUUUUUUAACACUGUGAGUGUGCAUGUGCGUGCAUGUGUGUGUGUGCACGCCCUUGUCCUCCCAUUAAGUUCAGAGGACAGUUGUGGCAGCCGGUCCUCACCUUCUGCCAUGUGGAUCCCCAGAUUGAACUCAGGUUGUGAGGCUUGCUGUCUUUGCUCACUGAGCCAUCUUGUCCCAGACUAAGGUUGUUUCCUUUAAAACUACUCAUUUUCCCAUGGAGAGCAGCAACAUUAACAGGUCAAUAGAGGAAGUCUGAGCAAAGAGGGAGACCGGAUGGCCAGCGCUGGCUUGUGCUAACAUUUUCAGGUUGAAGGCACUGCACAGACUGGACACCCUGGACAGACAGACUGCCUCCAUUCCCAGGCAGGAAGUGCAAGAUCAGGGUGCCGACAGGGCCCUCCAGAGCCUUCCCGGAGCACCAGCUUUGAUUGCUUGUGACUGCUGGUGCCACCGGUUCUUCUCCGUUCUGUGAAAGCUGACUCCACCUUCGUCUUGGGCUUCACUUGCUGGUCUCCACUCAGGCAUGUCUGUGUCCAGAUUUCUCUCCUGUAUGUGUAUGCGUGUGUGAGGGUUUGUGUACAUGUAGGUGUACAUGUUCACAUACAUGUCUUUGCAUGUAGAAGAUAGAGGACAAUUUGAACAUUGUUCCUCAAGCACUGGACACAUUUCUUUGUUUCUUUUCUCUCUCUCUCUCUCUCUCUCUCUCUCUCUCUCUCUCUCUCUCUCUCUCUCUCUCUCUCUUUAUUCUUUUGAGAUAGGGUUCCCCAAUGCUCUGGAACUUGCUAAGUAGGUCAGUCUGGCUGGCCUUCAAGACCCAAGAAUCUGCUGUCUUGGAAUCCUGAGAGCUGAGACUUCCAGUGCAGGCCACCACACCCAGCUUGUGUUAUGUAGGUUCUGGGUGUUGAACUUGGGUCCUCUUGCUUUCAAGGCAAGCACUUUACUGAUCGAGCCAUGAUGCCCCCGCCCUUAUCAAACCCUAGUUAUCUUGGAAUAGGGAUCCUUCUUCUCCAGUCUGAGCUCGUUUUAAUAUAUCUGCACCAAUUCUGCAUUCAAAGUUUAUAUCUGCAGUGUCACCUGAGAUCCUGAGGGCUAGAAUUUCAGCAUAUGAAUUACAGGAAGACACAGUCCACAUGUAACAGUCGGCAUGGGAGGAUCACGGCAUGCCAGAGACAGUGCAGCAAGAAACCUUAAUUCAGCGAGCAAGCAAAUCAUGCAGGCUCCUGAGGGAACAGCACUCCAAAGGAGGGACCAGUGUGUAAGGUGUAAGACAGCCACAGCCAAUCACAGUUAAAACAAAACAAAACAAAACAAAACAAAACAAAACAAAACAAAACACCCAGAAGACUGUCUGGAUGGCAGAGGUGAGAGAAGUGCUAUUCAGUAGUUGGGAUUUCACUCCUACAAAUCACAACGUUAGCUGUGGGACACUCUUACUUAACUUAUUGAUUAUAAAAACCAAAUGCUCAUUCCUAAUAAAACCUCUGAUUUAGAAGUAUGCAGUAACACGGUCUUGGGCUGUAGGUACCUUGGUCAGGGAGCAACAAUUCGCAUCAAAUCCACUGCAGUGCAGGAGCAUUUCCAUCCUCCAGCAGAACAUAGGUGCUUGGUUUUGUUUUAGACUCCAGUUAAAGCUGGAAGUUACAUCUCCUGUUACUGUGUAACUAAGUGCCCCGACAUAAGCACCCGACAGAGAAAGUUACAUCUCCUGUUACUAUGUAACUAAGUGCCCUAACAUAAGCUCCCUGACAGAGACGUCUCCUUUUAUACAGCCCACGGCAUCCACAGCCAUCCCACAGGCCUGUCUCCAGGUGAUUCCACAUCUCAUCACACUGGCAAGUCACACGGUACUCGGCACACCCCCAAAUGAUGGGGUACUUUUAAAGCACAAGCACUGGCUCAGCCACUUCUAUUCUCUUGUGCAUUGUAUUUGCUCUUGUGGCCAGGUCAUGGCUGCAGGAGCCAGCCAACCGUGCAGGUGUGGCCUGCCUGCUCCAACCCAGACUCUCUGCAGCCACUACCCAGACGUUUGUUCUCCAUCUCACCCAAUGAGUGUAGACUGUAUGUGGAUGCUUCGAGCAAGCGUGCUCCAUUCCUGGGUGUGCAGUGGCAAUUUUAAGGUACAUUUUACUCUAGUGCCCAACUCAGCAUGCAUGCUGGCAUUGGAUUCUCUGUGCCAUGCUCCUGACUUGCCCAGGGUCUCCAUUCCUGGUCCCUGAAUCCACUUCUAAAGACCAAUGACUUGUACCCAGCUCACACUCCAUGCUGUGAAUUCAGGGAGCUCUGACUGGGGAGCCGAGGUCAGGGCAGGGUUGUGGCCAACCGCAUGUCUGGAUGCUACCUUGUGAAGCCCACUUUGCUGGUGUUGGGUGAAGGAUCUGAGGGGAACCUUAUCCUGUUAAACAGGUGCAGUGGUGCGCCCAGGUGCACUCAGAUGGAAUUGCAAGGUGAAGCCUGUGUCUUUAUGGCGGGGUUACGGUUUCAUUUCAUCAGUAACGAGUACCAAUAGUAAUAGGAAUGACUGGGGUGGGCUGGCUUUUAUCAGCGGUCUUCAAAGCCUCAGCAACAACAAACCCUUAAACAGCCACCUGAAAAUUCAAGACCUUUUCUGCUGCUGCAGGGAGGGCCUUCCUUCCGUCCCCCAGGAUGGGGCAGCUGCCGAUGUUCCCAUCAUCCCAGCAUCAUCCAUAACUUCAAGUGAUGUUUCAUCUCGUCGGCUGUGUUCAUGAGACUCCUGUUACAGAAACAGCCGCUCACAGCACUUCCACUGUGGGUGGGGGGUUUCCAUACCAAGCAACUCCCCACAUACCAGUGAAUGAGGAGCUGUUAUUUAAUUCUGAUCCCAGACACUGCAGUUGCUGACUCUGCAAGCUGGGGGACCAGGCCACGACACUGCCUCCAGUUCAGAACCAGUGGCAAUCCUGGGCCUCCCACACUUCACAGGGGAGCAUCUACAAAUACACUCUCAAGGUUCAUGGAAACUAGGGAGCACUCUCCAUGCGUUUACCUCCUGCCUUAGGAAGUGUGGAGGUGCAGAGGCGAGGUCUCGGAGGAUCCUUAUUGCAGAUGGGCAUCCCACUUUCAGCUCAGAAGUUCUUCAAAUCCCUUGUGAUAAGACUUUCACGGUGGUCCUGUUCCAGUGCCUUGAUUAAUAAGUCAGUGAUCAUUAACAGGACUCAAUCGCCAGCCCCAUAAACACUCUGAGCCUCACAUGGGUCUGGGAUUCCCAGACUUCUACUCACAGAUGGUUCCCUCUCCAGCCAUUCAGUUCAAGAACCAGUGAAAGGAGGUGCAUUUAACACAGGGACCUCCAAGGCAGCCGGCUGCUGCUGCUGCAUGUCUUUGAUCCUUGCACUUGAUGGUGUUCAAAGCCAGCCUGGUGUAAAGAGUGAGUUCCAGGACAAUCUGAAGUGCUCUAGUGAAUCUCUGGCGAAAAGUUCAUAUGUAAAUCUCUUUCAAGUUCAUGUCUUUGUGUGCUAAUAAUUCACUCGUGUUUUGGGAGCUCUUCCUGGAGAGGCAUAGGCUGUCCACCCCUUCCUUUUCUGUUGCUGUUGGUUUUGCCUUAUUUAUUUAUUUAUUUAUUUAUUUAUUUAUAGACAGGGUUUCUCUGUGUAGUCCUGGCUGUCCUGGAACUCAGUCUUUACACCAGGCUGGCCUCAAAUUCUAGAGAUUCACCUGCCUCUGCCUCCUGAGUGCUGGGAUAAAAGGUGUGCCACCAUCACCCAGCCGUCUACCCCUUCCUUAUAGGGCAUUAAUCACAAACCAAAGCAUGAUUCCACCAAAGUCAAACCUGGGGAACCAAUGAGGUUCACUGACAGAGCCCGGUGAAGGGUUACUUAGAAGAGAGUGUGACCCUAAAUCAGCCACCGAGCAUAGAUAGUAACUUCUCCAUAGAUGGGGUCCUCCCCUACUUUCUGUUAACCUUCUAUACGCUAUUUACUUAAGCACCUCCCAAGACCACAAGGCCAUGUGCAAUUACUGCAGGCUGACAGGCGCAGAAGUGUGUGGCUGGAAUCCUAUGAAGGAAUACCAACAGUCAGCAGGGCAGGAUAGAUCUUAGCGCUCUUGUGAGCAGUCUCUGAUGCACAGAUAAAGACGGCUGUUAUGUUCAAGGGUGGGGACUGUGGGGGAGUUGGUAUCCUCCCUGGAAACUCCUUUGGUGCUGAACCCUGUAAAAGUGGGCUCCUGGGAGAAUGAGCUCCACGUCUUUAAUCUCUAGCUUCCAGACCCCUCCUAGGCAAAGAUCCUGCAAGAUAUGUAUUUCUUAUACCACGAUAUCGUACCUAUUGGUUUCCAUACUAAAACAAAAAGCUGUAUUUUUUGCUUCUACAGAGUUCUUGUGGAAUCUUUCCCAAACUAGUCCCCUGAGAAUCCCUGUUAUUUAUUUUAUUUCUUCAGACUAAAAUGUCAUUAUUUUGUUCCUGACGAUGCCAGGGUCCCAGAUUUGGGUGUGGCUGUGCUGUGUGGGGUUUCCUCCCCUGUUCUGUGAGGUUGUAAAUUGCUCUGUAUUCCUUCAAAAGUUAUCUGCAGGAAGCUUUUGAACCUGUAUGGAGCUCAAGUGUCUCAGGGGAUGUUUAGUUACUUAGUUUUCUUCUUAGUCUCUAUAUGCCGUCUCAGAAUGCCCCAUAAGAUCUCUUUUUGGGAAUCAUUGUACGUUAAGGAUGUAAUUACCGCAUAGUUUGUAGAAAAGCGCCUUCCUCGGGUGAACCGCUUCAAGUUCACCAGAGCAGGGCAGGCAGCCUAGGCAGCUGGUUCCCCCACCUCCCCCGGGAGGCAGAAGAGAGUUCACUCAGGGAAACAAAUGGGACCCAGAAAUGGGACCCAGGCUUUCUCCUCUGCAGCCGGCGAAGGAGCCAGGAGUGGAAGGGGACUGAGAAGGUAGCUAUGGGCUUUGCCUGGCGCUUCCCAGUUUCUACGUGCUGUUCGGAGUAGCCAGCAUGUCUACAGGCUCAACGGAUGCUCCGGGAUCAGGCGGUGUGGUUUCUCAGAUCAAGGUCUCACGUUCUAAGAGGCUAGAGUCCUGGAACCUCGGAUAACCCCCAGGCGAUUCAGAAGCUCAGACAAAAUGGUUGAUGGGGGAGCACUAAGCAAUGACCGAGGUUUUUAAUGCAUUUGCAGGAAGCAAGAUGCCUCAUGCUGGGAAUUCAGCAAGCCCCCAGGAGGCAGAGGCAGGAUUGUCUCAAGUUCGAGACCAGCCUGGGGGUACAUAGUCAGAUUUUAUCUAAAAAAAAAAAUACUAGUUAUAGUAAUAAAAAUAGAAUUCACUUGCAGUGUUGGCUAUUUCCCGCCUUUCUAUAUGGAUUUUUGUCCCUAUUCUGAACUGGCUUUCUUUCUCUUUCUUUCUUCCUUUCUUUCUUUCUUUCUUUCUUUCUUUCUUUCUUUCUUUCUCUCUCUCUCUCUCUCUCUCUCUCUCUCUCUCUCUCCCUCCCUUCCUUCCUUCCUUCCUUCCUUCCUUUCUUUCUUUCUUUCUUUCUCUCUCGGUCUCUCUCUCUUUCUUUCUUCCUUCCUUCUUUCCCCUCCCUCUCUCUUUCUUUCUUUCUUUCUUCCUUUCUUUCUUUCUUUCUUUCUUUCUUUCUUUCUUUCUUUCUCUCUCUCUCUCUCUCUCUCUCUCUCUCUCUCUUUCUUUCUUUCUUUCUUUCUUUCUUGUCGUCGUUUGAGUCCUACCCUGGGUGUGAACAUUAUUAUGCUGUAAUUUUAGGGACCGUUUGUUUACAUUCUUUUUGGUACAUCUGUAUAUCUUCCCUGCACAUACAUAGAGGGUGAUGGAUGCACACUCGUAGUGUCAGAAAAAAACAAUUUCAGCGUCAAACAAAGAAACACACGAAUGAUGUGGAAGUAACUUGGCAAGGCCAUUUCUUUUUAUAAAACGGGUACAUGGGCCAGAGCCCAGACCAGGCUAGCAGCACACAUGACUGGGGUGGCCUCUGUCCCUUACCCCAGCACUGGUGAUAACCGUGUCUCAUUCCUUAGGUGGGAACUCUACUUCACAGUCAGUUGGCUAAUCAGUGAGAAGGGUUAGAGGGAAGAUACAGGCCCCUGUUGAACUACCCCUUAAGGGGGAAAAAGUCAUCUUCCAUAUACGUGCCAGUGCCUGCCAAGGCCAGAAGAGGGCGUCAGAGCCGCUGGAGCUGGAGUUCUAGGUGGUUGGGAGCCAUCAGAUGUGGGCACCCUGAACUGGACUCUGGAAGAGAGGCUGAUGCUGCUAAAGGCUGAGGCGUCUCUCCAGCCCUCUAUCUCCCUCUUCACUGAACCUGGCCUCACGCUCUAGCUAGCCAUCUCCCAACCCUGUUUUUAUUUUUCUUGGGUAACGCUCCAGUUGUACAGGCCAAGAGUAAGCUCCUGGCUGUCCUCCCAAGUGGCAAGCCUCCCAGCUUCUUGGUUUACAGUCAUGAACCACCACAGCAGACUGCAACAUGCCCCACCCCCACCCAGGAGUCUCUGUCAUUCCUGUUACCAAUUAAUUCUACAGAGUACUUCAACAGGGUGCAACAUCUGCUGAGCCCACACAUUGUCAGAUGGCACAGUCCCCACCCCACCCCCACACAGGUGUCUUCUCUCAGACCCUUCUGUGAACCCAUGAGACUGACUGUUCCCACGAGUCAGACAGGAGCUGCCAUUGAUCUGUGUCCCUUAGUCACCUGGGUGACAUCCAGCAUCCAUUUCUGGUUCUCCUUUGAGUCUUUGUCCAUUCACAAAAGAGGACAAGUUAAUAUGCUCUCAUGAGACUGAGAAUUGCUGAGAGCACUCUGGAGGAGCAGGAGUGGAGGCCAUUGAGCAUGCUUUCUGUGGCUUACACCAAGGAACAAUGUGGAGUCCACUGCCAGGGUGGCAUGUGUGUGAGUGUGUGUAUAUGCAUAUGUGUGUGCACAUGUGUGUAUGCAUGUGUGUGUGCACAUGUGUGUGUGCAUGGAUGUGUAUGCAUGUGUGCAAGCAUAGGUGUGUAUGUGUGCAUGCAUAUGUGUGUGUGCAUCUGUGUGUGCAUUUGUGUGUGCAUGUGUGCGUGCAUGUGUGUGCAUAUGUGUGUGUGUGUGCAAGCAUAUAUGUGUGCAUGUGUGCGUGCAUAUGUGUGUGCAUGUGUGCAAGCAUAUAUGUAUGUGCAUGUGUGUGUGUGAAGCCGGAGGCCACUCCCACCAAGGGAAGACAGGGCUUGUGGGCAGUUUCUAGAAGGAGAAAAGUCCAGUGGUCACUGUCCUUGUCAUCACACAAACAUAGGGUCCUUUCUGCUGUAGGGUUCUCAUCCUGGCUCUGCUGCAAGAAAUUGGAGUUCAGACCCACUGCUGAACUGCAGGCUCUCCUGACUUUGAACUCAGCAAAUAUAGCUUUCUCUUGUCUUGCCUGUGCAUGCCAGGGCAGGGUGCACAAGCAGAGAUAUUUCCUGAAAACCUUCUGGUUUUUAACUGACAGGUGUCCUACAAGCAGAAAUCCCUGUGUUUGAUGGAGGAGACCUGGGCAGGCAGGGCAUUUGGCCACAUCUUUAGCUGUACAUUCUAUGAAGAGAGGCAAGGGCAGACGACUACUGGAAAUGGGCAUAGAGUUAUCACUAUGUCCCUGAGCUCUGUCCCCACAGGCUUCCCAGAUCCAACCUCUUAGGUAGGCUGUGCAUUAGAAACCCCCAUGGUUGAUCACUUUACCAUGCCUCAGAGUCCAUAAAGCUGAUUCACUCCACAAUGAUGGCUAGACCUCUCUGGAUCUGCAGAGAUCCUACCAGAUCUCUCCACUGACACGUAGAUGGUCACUGAGGUCUGUUGGUGAAAAACAGGCCCAGAUCAACGGCCUUGCGCACAAGCCGUUAUCACUGCCCAGUGGGGCCGUGGAUCUCUGUAUGUCUGAGCUCUAUUAGCUCAUCCAUCGGAUGCAAGCAGAGCCUACACAGAGUUUUCUGAGAUUGCCCAUUUGGCUUGGCUUCCACUUACCAAAGAGGCAGAGACAGGGCCCUUUCAUCUCUGGGAAACAAGAGGUCAACCCACCAGGGCUCUGAAGUUAUGGUCUAAAGCACUCAUGACGUAGGAGUCUUCCAUCUCUACCGCACCUUGCAGGGCCGACCAUGCUGCACGCGGGUGGAUGGCUCAGGAGAACCCCUCCUUGCUUCUCAGAUCAUUGAGACCGUACAUCAGGAGCCUCCAUCCAUUCACACAUGUUUAGAGAGGCAUAGUCCUAACCGGCACUUUUGUUUCAUUUGUUACAGUGCCACUUUGGCCCUUGAACAUUUUCCUUUGGUGUUAGAGGGUACUUUCAGGCGUGGGACCAUGUCAGGCUCCACCUCUGAG